rnacentral:rRNA from 1 species
UACGGAGGGUGCGAGCGUUGUCCGGAAUCACUGGGCGUAAAGGGCGCGUAGGCGGCCUGAUAAGUAGGGGGUGAAAUCCCGCGGCUUAACCGCAGGGCUGCCUUCUAAACUGUCAGGCUCGAGCACAGUAGAGGCAGGUGGAAUUCCCGGUGUAGCGGUGGAAUGCGUAGAGAUCGGGAAGAACAUCAGUGGCGAAGGCGGCCUGCUGGGCUGUUGCUGACGCUGAGGCGCGACAGCGUGGGGAGCAAACAGG